UACAGAGGGUGCAAGCGUUAAUCGGAAUUACUGGGCGUAAAGCGUGCGUAGACGGUUAUGUAAGUCAGAUGUGAAAGCCCCGGGCUCAACCUGGGAAUUGCAUUUGAGACUGCAUAGCUAGGGUGCGGAAGAGGGAAGCGGAAUUUCCGGUGUAGCGGUGAAAUGCAUAGAUAUCGGAAGGAACACCAGUGGCGAAAGCGGCUUCCUGGUCCAGCACCGACGUUCAGGCACGAAAGCGUGGGGAGCAAACAGG
rnacentral:rRNA from 1 species